rnacentral:rRNA from 1 species
UACGUAGGGUGCGAGCGUUGUCCGGAAUUACUGGGCGUAAAGAGCUCGUAGGUGGUUUGUCGCGUCGUCUGUGAAAUUCCGGGGCUUAACUCCGGGCGUGCAGGCGAUACGGGCAUAACUUGAGUACUGUAGGGGAGACUGGAAUUCCUGGUGUAGCGGUGAAAUGCGCAGAUAUCAGGAGGAACACCGGUGGCGAAGGCGGGUCUCUGGGCAGUAACUGGCGCUGAGGAGCGAAAGCAUGGGUAGCGAACAGGAUUAGAUACCCGUGUA